rnacentral:rRNA from 1 species
AUGAACGCUGGCGGCGUGCCUAAUACAUGCAAGUCGAGCGAACAGAUGAGGAGCUUGCUCCUCUGACGUUAGCGGCGGACGGGUGAGUAACACGUGGAUAACCUACCUAUAAGACUGGGAUAACUUCGGGAAACCGGAGCUAAUACCGGAUAAUAUAUUGAACCGCAUGGUUCAAUAGUGAAAGACGGUUUUGCUGUCACUUAUAGAUGGAUCCGCGCCGCAUUAGCUAGUUGGUAAGGUAACGGCUUACCAAGGCAACGAUGCGUAGCCGACCUGAGAGGGGGAUCGGCCACACUGGAACUGAGACACGGUCCAGACUCCUACGGGAGGCAGCAGUAGGGAAUCUUCCGCAAUGGGCGAAAGCCUGACGGAGCAACGCCGCGUGAGUGAUGAAGGUCUUCGGAUCGUAAAACUCUGUUAUUGGGGAAGAACAAAUGUGUAAGUAACUAUGCACGUCUUGACGGUACCUAAUCAGAAAGCCACGGCUAACUACGUG